CCUACGGGUGACAGCAGUGAGGAAUAUUGGUCAAUGGACGAGAGUCUGAACCAGCCAAGUAGCGUGAAGGAUGACUGCCCUAUGGGUUGUAAACUUCUUUUAUAAAGGAAUAAAACGAGGCACGUGUGCCUUUUUGCAUGUACUUUAUGAAUAAGGAUCGGCUAACUCCGUGCCAGCAGCCGCGGUAAUACGGAGGAUCCGAGCGUUAUCCGGAUUUAUUGGGUUUAAAGGGAGCGUAGAUGGGUUGUUAAGUCAGUUGUGAAAUUUUGCGGCUCAACCAUAAAAUUGCAAUUGAUACUGGCAGUCUUGAGUACAGUGGAGGUAGGCGGAAUUCGUGGUGUAGCGGUGAAAUGCUUAGAUAUCACGAAGAACCCCGAUUGCGAAGGCAGCUUACUAAACUGUGACUGACAUUGAUGCUCGAAAGUGUGGGUAUCAAACAGGAUUAGAUACCCCAGUAGUC
rnacentral:rRNA from 1 species